rnacentral:rRNA from 1 species
GUAGGGGGGGCAAGCGUUGUCCGGAAUUAUUGGGCGUAAAGAGCUCGUAGGCGGUUCGGGUAAGUCGGGGUGUGAAAAUCCAGGGGGCUCAACCCUGGGACGCCACUCGAUACUGCUGUGACUAGAGUCCGGUAGAGGAGCGUGGAAUUUCUGGUGUAGCGGUGAAAUGCGCAGAUAUCAGAAGGAACACCAGCGGCGAAGGCGGCGCUCUGGGCCGGUACUGACGCUGAGGAGCGAAAGCGUGGGGAGCAAACAGGAUUAGAUACCCUGGUAGUCCACGCCGUAAACGUUGGGCACUAGGUAUGGGGUCUUAUCAACGGAUUCCGUGCCGUAGCUAACGCAUUAAGUGCCCCGCCUGGGGAGUACGGCCGCAAGGCUA